rnacentral:rRNA from 1 species
UGGGGAAUAUUGGACAAUGGGGGCAACCCUGAUCCAGCAAUGCCGCGUGAGUGAGGAAGGCCUUAGGGUUGUAAAGCUCUUUCACCCACGACGAUGAUGACGGUAGUGGGAGAAGAAGCCCCGGCUAACUUCGUGCCAGCAGCCGCGGUAAUACGAAGGGGGCGAGCGUUGUUCGGAUUUACUGGGCGUAAAGGGCGCGCAGGCGGCCAUCUUUGUCAGGCGUGAAAGCCCCGGGCUCAACCUGGGAGGUGCGCUUGGGACGGGGUGGCUAGAGAUCGGGAGAGGAGCGUGGAAUUCCCAGUGUAGAGGUGAAAUUCGUAGAUAUUGGGAAGAACACCGGUGGCGAAGGCGGCGCUCUGGACCGAGACUGACGCUGAGGCGCGAAAGCGUGGGGAGCAAACAGGAUUAGAUACCCCUGUAGUCC